GACGAACGCUGGCGGCGUGCUUAACACAUGCAAGUCGAACGAUGAACCCGGAGCUUGCUCCGGCGGAUUAGUGGCGAACGGGUGAGUAACACGUGAGUAACCUGCCCUUGACUCUGGGAUAACUGCUAGAAAUGGUAGCUAAUACCGGAUACGACCCUCGGUGGCAUCACCAGGGGGUGGAAAGAAUUUCGGUCAAGGAUGGAUUCGCGGCCUAUCAGCUAGUUGGUGAGGUAACGGCUCACCAAGGCGACGACGGGUAGCCGGCCUGAGAGGGUGACCGGCCACACUGGGACUGAGACACGGCCCAGACUCCUACGGGAGGCAGCAGUGGGGAAUAUUGCACAAUGGGCGCAAGCCUGAUGCAGCAACGCCGCGUGAGGGAUGACGGCCUUCGGGUUGUAAACCUCUUUUAGUAGGGAAGAAGCGAAAGUGACGGUACCUGCAGAAAAAGCACCGGCUAACUACGUGCCAGCCGCCGCCGUAA
rnacentral:rRNA from 1 species